rnacentral:rRNA from 1 species
CCUACGGGUGGCAGCAGUCGGGAAUAUUGCGCAAUGGAGGAAACUCUGACGCAGUGACGCCGCGUAUAGGAAGAAGGUUUUCGGAUUGUAAACUAUUGUCGUUAGGGAAGAGAAAGGACAGUACCUAAGGAGGAAGCUCUGGCUAACUACGUGCCAGCAGCCGCGGUAAUCCGUAGGGAGCGAGCGUUAUCCGGAAUUAUUGGGUGUAAAGGGUGCGUAGACGGGAAUGCAAGGUAGUUGUGAAAUCCCUCGGAGUAACUGAGGAACUGCAACUACAACUACAUUUCUUGAGUGCAGGAGAGGUAAGUGGAAUUACUAGUGUAGCGGUGAAAUGCGUAGAUAUUAGGAGGAACACCAGUGGCGAAGGCGACUUACUGGACUGUAACUGACGUUGAGGCACGAAAGUGUGGGGAGCAAACAGGAUUAGAUACCCGUGUAGUC